AACGAACGCUGGCGGCAGGCCUAACACAUGCAAGUCGAACGCUCCGCAAGGGGAGUGGCAGACGGGUGAGUAACACGUGGGAACCUACCUCGAGGUGCGGAACAACCAAGGGAAACUUUGGCUAAUACCGCAUGUGCCCUUAGGGGAAGAUUUAUCGCCUUGGGAUGGGCCCGCGUCGGAUUAGCUAGUUGGUGUGGUAAUGGCGCACCAAGGCGACGAUCCGUAGCUGGUCUGAGAGGAUGAUCAGCCACACUGGGACUGAGACACGGCCCAGACUCCUACGGGAGGCAGCAGUGGGGAAUAUUGGACAAUGGGCGCAAGCCUGAUCCAGCCAUGCCGCGUGUGUGAUGAAGGCCUUAGGGUUGUAAAGCACUUUCGCCGAUGAAGAUAAUGACUGUAGUCGGAGAAGAAGCCCCGGCUAACUUCGUGCCAGCAGCCGCGGUAAU
rnacentral:rRNA from 1 species